rnacentral:rRNA from 1 species
GGGUUGUGAGGUUAAGCGACUAAGCGUACACGGUGGAUGCCCUGGCAGUCAGAGGCGAUGAAGGGCGUGCUAAUCUGCGAUAAGCGCCGGUAAGGUGAUAUGAACCGUUAUAACCGACGAUACCCGAAUGGGGAAACCCAGUGUGAUUCGUCACACUAUCAUUAACUGAAUCCAUAGGUUAAUGAGGCGAACCGGGGGAACUGAAACAUCUAAGUACCCCGAGGAAAAGAAAUCAACCGAGAUUCCCCCAGUAGCGGCGAGCGAACGGGGAGGAGCCCAGAGCCUGAAUCAGCAUGUGUGUUAGUGGAAGCGUCUGGAAAGGCGCGCGAUACAGGGUGACAGCCCCGUACACAAAAGCGCAUGUGCUGUGAGCUCGAUGAGUAGGGCGGGACACGUGGUAUCCUGUCUGAAUAUGGGGGGACCAUCCUCCAAGGCUAAAUACUCCUGACUGACCGAUAGUGAACCAGUACCGUGAGGGAAAGGCGAAAAGAACCCCGGCGAGGGGAGUGAAAAAGAACCUGAAACCGUGUACGUACAAGCAGUGGGAGCACCCUUUGGGGUGUGACUGCGUACCUUUUGUAUAAUGGGUCAGCGACUUAUAUUCUGUAGCAAGGUUAACCGUAUAGGGGAGCCGAAGGGAAACCGAGUCUUAACCGGGCGUUAAGUUGCAGGGUAUAGACCCGAAACCCGGUGAUCUAGCCAUGGGCAGGUUGAAGGUUGGGUAACACUAACUGGAGGACCGAACCGACUAAUGUUGAAAAAUUAGCGGAUGACCUGUGGCUGGGGGUGAAAGGCCAAUCAAACCGGGAGAUAGCUGGUUCUCCCCGAAAGCUAUUUAGGUAGCGCCUCGUGAAUUCAUCUCCGGGGGUAGAGCACUGUUUCGGCUAGGGGGCCAUCCCGGCUUACCAACCCGAUGCAAACUGCGAAUACCGGAGAAUGUUAUCACGGGAGACACACGGCGGGUGCUAACGUCCGUCGUGAAGAGGGAAACAACCCAGACCGCCAGCUAAGGUCCCAAAGUCAUGGUUAAGUGGGAAACGAUGUGGGAAGGCCCAGACAGCCAGGAUGUUGGCUUAGAAGCAGCCAUCAUUUAAAGAAAGCGUAAUAGCUCACUGGUCGAGUCGGCCUGCGCGGAAGAUGUAACGGGGCUAAACCAUGCACCGAAGCUGCGGCAGCGAACGUAUCACUUAAAGCGAUUCAGCGGGUUACGAUUGACGGAGCGAAGCGACGUCAAAGCGUAUACAAAGUCGAGUCGGUUUAAGGAUA